rnacentral:rRNA from 1 species
AUUGAACGCUGGCGGCAGGCUUAACACAUGCAAGUCGAGCGAGCGGCAGACUGGUGAGUAAUGUCUGGGAAACUGCAUGAUGGAGGGGGAUACCUACUGGAAACGGUAGUUAAUACCGCAUACCAUCAGAUGUGCCCAGAUGGGAUUAGCUAGUAGGUGGGGUAAUGGCUAACAUAGGCGACUAACCCAAGCUAGUAUGAGAGGAUGACCAGCCACCAUGGAACUGAGACACGGUCCAGACCCCUACGGGAGGCAGCAUUGGGGAAUAUUGCACAAUGGGCGCAAGCCUGAUGCAGCCAUGCCGCGUGUGUGAAGAAGGCCUUCGGGUUGUAAAGCACUUUCAGCGAGGAGGCGUUACUCGCAGAAGAAUGACCGGCUAACUCCGUGCCAGCAGCCGCGGUAAUUC